GACGAACGCUGGCGGCGUGCCUAACACAUGCAAGUCGAACGGAGUUGCGAGAGCUUGCUUUUGCAACUUAGUGGCGAACGGGUGAGUAACGCGUGAGAAACCUGCCUCUCAGUGGGGGACAACAGUUGGAAACGACUGCUAAUACCGCAUAACGUAUUCGGAGGGCAUCCUCUGGAUACCAAAGCUUUAUGUGCUGAGAGAUGGUCUCGCGUCUGAUUAGCUAGAUGGCGGGGUAACGGCCCACCAUGGCGACGAUCAGUAGCCGGUCUGAGAGGAUGAACGGCCACAUUGGGACUGGAGAUACGGCCCAG
rnacentral:rRNA from 1 species